AAUCAACGCUGGCGGCGUGCCUCAGACAUGCAAGUCGAACGAUUAAACUUUCCUUCGGGAAAGAUAUAAAGUGGCGCACGGGUGAGUAACACGUAAGUAAUCUACCUUCGAGUGGGGAAUAACGUCCGGAAACGGACGCUAAUACCGCAUAAUGCAGCGGCACCUUAUGGUGACAGUUGUUAAAGGAGCAAUUCGCUUGAAGAGGAGCUUGCGGCAGAUUAGCUAGUUGGUAAGGAACGGCUUACCAAGGCUACGAUCUGUAACCGGUCUAAGAGGACGGUCGGUCACACUGACACUGAAUAACGGGUCAGACUCCUACGGGAGGCAGCAGUCGGGAAUUUUGGGCAAUGGGCGAAAGCCUGACCCAGCAACGCCGCGUGAAGGAUGAAGUAUUUCGGUAUGUAAACUUCGAAAGAAUGGGAAGAAUCAAUGACGGUACCAUUUAUAAGGUCCGGCUAACUACGUGCCAGCAGCCGCGGUAAU
rnacentral:rRNA from 1 species